rnacentral:tRNA from 1 species
GGGGCCUUAGCUCAGUUGGUAGAGCGCCUGCUUUGCAAGCAGGAUGUCAGGAGUUCGAUUCUCCUAGGCUCCACGA